ensembl:lncRNA
AAAGAAUCCACCUGCAAUGUGGAAGACCCCGGUUCCAUCCCUGGGUGGAGAAGAUCCCCUAGAGAAGGGAUAGGCUUCCCACUCCAGUAUUCUUGGGCUUCCCUCGUGGCUCAGCUGAAUCGGAUCCCAUGGACCUGGUUUCCUCUGGUUAAGCACUUAGGGUUUCAGUCUCAGGAAGCAUGUGCUGGAAAAGUGACCCCAACGCCAUCCUUUUUACAUCAUCUCAACCAACAGGAAUAGCUUGACUGUUUACUCAAGCCCACUGAAGGGGAACACGAGGUGACUCGACUUCUGUUGCUAAGCUUCCGCCAGUAAGCUGUCAUGGAUUUAAAGCUGGAAACUGAGCUAAUUUUCCAGAGAGGCGGGCCUUCUCAGAGGGUCACUGCAGCCCGCUGUCGCCUUGCUUGGAGCACAGGCGGGGUCACAAGCCCCUGAACUCCGAGGGAGAACAAGGGCCUCACUGUUGCCCCCGGAAGGCUGAGCACGAUGUCCAUGGAGCCCCCGGGAGACCCACAGAGAGGAGCAGUGGAGGCUUUCCCACUGCGGACCCACCUUGUUCUCGGUGGACAGGGGGUGAAGACUGACUUAUUUGUGUUCUCAAACUACCUUGGCAGCAGGGCCAGGCACAGCUCACAACAAAUCUGGACCAUCGGCACACCUAAGAAAAACAGACCGAGAGACCAGUGUUUGCCUUCCAUGAAAAGUGCACUGUUUGCUGCAGAAUCGAACUUGCGCCCCUGGAGCAGACGCACAGAGUUUUAUCUGCUGGACCAGAUCUGAAGUUUUAACACCAGAAGUAUCAGUGCCCUUGCGCUUUACCUCUGUUCAACGCUGGAGCCUUUACUGUCUCCAGAGCUGCCCCAGCCUUCUCUUCAAAUUCCAGGCCCAUGGGUCACAGCUACAGAUCAGAGCCCUGCAUGGGAAGAAGGCAGCUUGCACAUCUCCCGUCACCAGUCUUUCCUCCAAACAGCUCAGCCUUGCUCCUGCCAUUUCCACGUUCAUUCCAUCACUUCCCCCUGAAUGCUGCCCCGGGUUCUGAAUGCAGCCUUUGCGUGUGUUCCACCUUGAGGAUGAACAGCAAACAGACACGGCGCCAGAUGGACAUUUGCUAGAAUCUAAUCCUCGGAAAAACAGCCUGAAGCGACUUUAAAAUAGCAACACACCGGUGACACUGGGUGACCAGGGGACCUGUUGUAAACAGCAACUUAAUAAAAUAAAACCCUGGUGACAGUUUUAAAAUCCUCACCAAACAUUUUGGGACUAAAGGCAAUAUUUUUAUAGCUCCUAUUCCCUGGCUGUAAAUGUCGGCUUUUUCUUAAAUAGCCCUUUCAGAGGCCCAGGUGCAGCCCAGGGGACAAGCUGAUGACAACAUGCUGCUCCAUAAAAGAGCGACUGUUCGGCCUCCAGGAAAACCCAGCGAGGCCCGUG